rnacentral:tRNA from 1 species
AUGGCUCAGCGGUUAAGAGCACUUAACUGCUAUUGCAGAGGACCUGGGUUCCAUUCCCAGU